rnacentral:rRNA from 1 species
UGGCGGACGGGUGAGUAACACAUCGGAACGUACCCAGUUGUGGGGGAUAGCCCGGCGAAAGCCGGAUUAAUACCGCAUACGACCUGAGGGUGAAAGUGGGGGAUCGCAAGACCUCACGCAGUUGGAGCGGCCGAUGGCGGAUUAGCUAGUUGGUGAGGUAAAAGCCUACCAAGGCGACGAUCUGUAGCGGGUCUGAGAGGAUGAUCCGCCACACUGGAACUGAGACACGGUCCAGACUCCUACGGGAGGCAGCAGAGGGGAAUUUUGGACAAUGGGGGCAACCCUGAUCCAGCCAUGCCGCGUGAGUGAAGAAGGCCUUCGGGUUGUAAAGCUCUUUCGGCCGGGAAGAAAUCGCAUGGGCUAAUACCCUGUGUGGAUGACGGUACCGGAAUAAGAAGCACCGGCUAACUACGUGCCAGCAGCCGCGGUAAU